GUGUCAGCCGCCGCGGUAAUACGAAGGGGGCUAGCGUUGUUCGGAAUUACUGGGCGUAAAGGGCGCGUAGGCGGUCUAUCAAGUUAGGUGUGAAAGCCCUGGGCUCAACCCAGGAACUGCAUUUAAGACUGAUAGGCUAGAGAUCUAGAGGGGAUAGUGGAAUUCCAAGUGUAGAGGUGAAAUUCGUAGAUAUUUGGAGGAACACCAGUGGCGAAGGCGACUAUCUGGCUAGAAUCUGACGCUGAGGCGCGAUAGCGUGGGGAGCAAACAGGAUUAGAUACCCUCGUAGUCC
rnacentral:rRNA from 1 species